rnacentral:rRNA from 1 species
UACGUAGGCAGCGAGAGUUGUUCGGAGUUACUGGGCGUAAAGGGUGUGUAGGCGGUUCUUUAAGUUUGGUGUGAAAUCUCCCGGCUCAACCGGGAGGGUGCGCCGAAUACUGAGGGACUCGAGUGCGGGAGAGGAAAGUGGAAUUCCUGGUGUAGCGGUGAAAUGCGUAGAUAUCAGGAGGAACACCGGUGGUGUAGACGGCUUUCUGGACCGUAACUGACGCUGAGACACGAAAGCGUGGGUAGCAAACAGG